UACGUAGGGGCAAGCGUUGUCCGGAAUUAUUGGGCGUAAAGAGCGUGUAGGCGGUCCGAUAAGUCGGCUGUGAAGUCCAGGGCUCAACUCUGGAAUGCCGGCCGAUACUGUCGGACUAGAGUCCGGAAGAGGUGAGUGGAAUUCCCGGUGUGAGCGGUGAAAUGCGCAGAUAUCAGGAGGAACACCGGUGGCGAAGGCGGGUCUCUGGGCCGUAACUGACGCUGAGGAGCGAAAGCGUGGGGAGCGAACAGG
rnacentral:rRNA from 1 species